rnacentral:lncRNA from 1 species
GGAGGCGGGCCGCAGCGGGAGAGACUCUUUCCGUCCGCCUCUGGAGCAGGGGCCCAGGUAGUACGGUAAUGCUCGUCAUCCCGGCGUCAGCACCCGGUUGGCUCUGGAGACGUCAGGGCUUGGAAGCCCUCCGGGAGAGCCCAGACGCUGGGCUGGGCGACUUGGACCCGCCGUGAGUCAGUUGGGCGCGAUGAAGGCACCGUGUUUGCCCAGUUGAAAACAGCACUUACUCGCCCGGCGAGCCGCCCGUUUGCUCCCAUGCCGCGUCCUGCAAAAGCCGUAAUUCCCUCUGGCAGGCUGGUUUUCCCAGACAAACUACAUUUUCCAUGAUGCAGCGCAGGCCGCCCUCAGCGGGGAGGUGGCUCCUUCAGGGAAUGCGGCGGAAGAAUGUCAAGCGUGCCAGGAUUAAGAUCUAAGAGGUGCAAACAACAUCGCCUUGGCUCAAACUUUGUCGUCUCCUUGUUGUUUCCACCAAUCUCCCCCCUCCACCCCCAACUGGAAAAGGAGCUUGUUUGAUAGACAAGCGAUUGAAAAGCUUUGCAGAGACUGCAUUUUCCAUUUAAAAGUGGGUGGGAAAUUGAACGAAACUUAUCAGACUCGCUGACCGAUUUUUAAAGAAAGAUUGGCAGAAACAUGAAAUGAUUUAGAGUUUGCACGUAUUGGGAAAGGGUGGGAGUGUGUGCUUUUAAGCUUCUAAACAGUAGCACUGUUUGUAAAUUUCACGGGUAGAGAAUUUUUUUACAUCUAGGUAUAGA